GGACUUUCUACAGGACCAUCUCUACUCCACAGAACCACAUCUGUUACUCCAGGAAGACUUAUUUGGACGGCUUCCAACACCUUGACCACCGGGGUGCCAGACUUCACAGAAAUGACCAGCAGAGUUCUGUUGUUGACUUCUGUGGAUGAUGACAGCAUGAGCAAGAUUUUUACGGUGGGGACAAUAUGACAAUCUGGAGUUGCAGUGCCAAAGCUUGU